rnacentral:ncRNA from 1 species
GAACUACUAGGCGAAAAGGGCACGUAUGCGGUGAAUUCCGCAAGUUGAGCUAGCGGAAUGCUUUCAAAACCAAUUUACUAGAGUAAGGCAUAGAGGUAAGCAGAAUUUUGUGUGUAGCGAUAAAAUGCAAAAAUAUACAAAGGAACGUCAAAUGCAAAGGCAACUUUCUGGUUCUUUAAUUUACGCUAAAGUGUAAAAUCAAGGGGAGCAAACACGAUUUAGAUACCCCGAUAGUCUAUGCUGUUAACGAUGAGUGUUUGUUCUUGGUCUACUGAUAUAGCUUUAUGGCUUUGUAUGCGCUUGGUGGAAAAAAGAUGUUGAGCUUUUUGCUUAACAUGGACUCCGGGUCCUUUUUCUUUUUCAUUCUGCAAUUUGGGUAUAAAGCUAUAUGCUUCGCC